rnacentral:rRNA from 1 species
UAGGGAAUCUUCCACAAUGGGCGCAAGCCUGAUGGAGCAACGCCGCGUGAGUGAAGAAGGUCUUCGGAUCGUAAAACUCUGUUGUUAGAGAAGAACGUGUGUGAGAGUGGAAAGUUCACACAGUGACGGUAACUUACCAGAAAGGGACGGCUAACUACGUGCCAG